UACGGGGGGGGCAAGCGUUGUUCGGAAUUACUGGGCGUAAAGGGCUCGUAGGCGGCCAACUAAGUCAGACGUGAAAUCCCCAGGCUCAACCUGGGAACUGCGUCCGAUACUGGAUGGCUUGAAUCCGGGAGAGGGAUGUAGAAUUCCAGGUGUAGCGGUGAAAUGCGUAGAUAUCUGGAGGAAUACCGGUGGCGAAGGCGGCAUCCUGGACCGGCAUUGACGCUGAGGAGCGAAAGCCAGGGGAGCAAACGGG
rnacentral:rRNA from 1 species